GAUGAACGCUGGCGGCGUGCCUAAUACAUGCAAGUCGAGCGAACGGACGAGAAGCUUGCUUCUCUGAUGUUAGCGGCGGACGGGUGAGUAACACGUGGAUAACCUGCCUAUAAGACUGGGAUAACUUCGGGAAACCGGAGCUAAUACCGGAUAAUAUUUUGAACCGCAUGGUUCAAAAGUGAAAGACGGUCUUGCUGUCACUUAUAGAUGGAUCCGCGCUGCAUUAGCUAGUUGGUAAGGUAACGGCUUACCAAGGCAACGAUGCAUAGCCGACCUGAGAGGGUGAUCGGCCACACUGGAACUGAGACACGGUCCAGACUCCUACGGGAGGCAGCAGUAGGGAAUCUUCCGCAAUGGGCGAAAGCCUGACGGAGCAACGCCGCGUGAGUGAUGAAGGUCUUCGGAUCGUAAAACCCUGUUAUUAGGGAAGAACAUAUGUGUAAGUAACUGUGCACAUCUUGACGGUACCUAAUCAGAAAGCCACGGCUAACUACGUG
rnacentral:rRNA from 1 species